UUAUUCUCACGCCGGAGCCUGGUUAAGAGGGAAACCCCCAUAUUCCCCUCUUAACGAGACUAAUGGUGUUAUUGUUUUGCAGGACCCAGGUCAUUUUCGCGAGUUAGAAAGGAGAUUGAACCCACAGGAGAAACAACCCCACAGAUUAACCAUAGUGUUAUUCUGUGUUUCAUCAGGUGCCCUUUGUUUCUUUCUGGAUCUGUAAGCGAUGGAAACCCUAACUUAGAAUGAUGAGGAAGCGAACGUAUGAAGGGGAGUCCGGCUCCGAUUCCGAUUCCACCAAGACCGAUGUUGUCGCCGCCCUUGAAAACGACCUCAAUAUAUUUGAAAAGGAAUCCAAGAUUCCUGUAGACCUGGACUGGCAUGUAUAUUCAUCGACAGAUACUCAUAUCCUCUGUCGAACAGAGUUCCUUUUAACUUGACGCCAGAGAUGAUUCACAAGUCUGUGUGUUACCGUCAUGGCGUUUGGCGAGGAGAUGGCCAUGUCGGAGGGCACCACGGUGGAACAUCGUCACAUGUUCGUGCAUGGGAGAGCACGGAAGGCUGGCUAGAGGGCGCAUCGCGGCAUUAGAGAAGAGCUAUGUGGUAGAGGGCAAGGUUGGCUAUGAUGUUUUGUGGAUCGAUUCAAAGGCUUCUAGGACUGGGAGACGGCAGAAGUAGCAUUGACCAAAUAAGUCAAACACACAUCUUUUUUGUGAGUUUGUGUAAUGAUAUGAGUAUUAUAAUCAUUAGACAGAAGAGUCAGUGAUUACCGAUUUAGUCAUCGAGAUUAUGGUUGUGAAUUGGAUUGUUGUAGCCUUUAUGCAUUUAUAUGAUUUCAUAUGGUGUUAAUAGUCUGUGACUUCACACUGACUUUCUGAACUAUCAAAAUUUGCUAACAUCAAGUCAUAUUUUGAGACCAGGAUGUUGUUUUACGGAUUAGGAUCAAAAACAAAGGAUCCUAAUUGUAAGAAGUGUAAGAAGGAUUUAUAGAGUGACAAGUGUUGAAUAACCUAAAAAA